rnacentral:rRNA from 1 species
CGCGGUAAUACGUAGGUGGCAAGCGUUGUCCGGGAAUUAUUGGGCGUAAAGCGCGCGCAGGCGGUCCUUUAAGUCUGAUGUGAAAUCCCACGGCUCAACCGUGGAAGGUCAUUGGAAACUGGGGGACUUGAGUACAGAAGAGGAAAGCGGAAUUCCAAGUGUAGCGGUGAAAUGCGUAGAGAUUUGGAGGAACACCAGUGGCGAAGGCGGCUUUCUGGUCUGUAACUGACGCUGAGGCGCGAAAGCGUGGGGAGCAAACGGGAUUAGAUACCCUGGUAGUCCACGCCGUAAACGAUGAGUGCUAAGUGUUAGGGGGUUUCCGCCCCUUAGUGCUGCAGCUAACGCAUUAAGCACUCCGCCUGGGGAGUACGGUCGCAAGACUGAAACUCAAAGGAAUUGACGGGGGCCCGCACAAGCGGUGGAGCAUGUGGUUUAAUUCGAAGCAACGCGAAGAACCUUACCAGGUCUUGACAUCCCGCUGACCGUCCUAGAGAUAGGUCUUUCCUUUCGGGGACAGCGGUGACAGGCGGUGCAUGGUUGUCGUCAGCUCGUGUCGUGAGAUGUUGGGUUAAGUCCCGCAACGAGCGCAACCCUUGAUCUUAGUUGCCAGCAUUCAGUUGGGCACUCUAAGGUGACUGCCGGUGAUAAACCGGAGGAAGGUGGGGAUGACGUCAAAUCAUCAUGCCCCUUAUGACCUGGGCUACACACGUGCUACAAUGGACGGUACAGAGGGUCGCAGCCCCGCGAGGGUGAGCAAAUCCCAUAAAACCGUUCUCAGUUCGGAUUGUAGGCUGCAACUCGCCUACAUGAAGCCGGAAUCGCUAGUAAUCGUGGAUCAGCAUGCCACGGUGAAUACGUUCCCGGGCCUUGUACACACCGCCCGUCACACCACGAGAGUUUGUAACACCCGAAGU